rnacentral:siRNA from 1 species
UGGUAGCCAUUCUCGCUUGGCCC